rnacentral:rRNA from 1 species
GUGGGGAAUUUUGGACAAUGGGCGAAAGCCUGAUCCAGCAAUGCCGCGUGUGUGAAGAAGGCCUUCGGGUUGUAAAGCACUUUUGUCCGGAAAGAAAUCUGUCUGGCUAAUACCCGGACGGGAUGACGGUACCGGAAGAAUAAGCACCGGCUAACUACGUGCCAGCAGCCGCGGUAAUACGUAGGGUGCGAGCGUUAAUCGGAAUUACUGGGCGUAAAGCGUGCGCAGGCGGUUUUGUAAGACCGAUGUGAAAUCCCCGGGCUUAACCUGGGAACUGCAUUGGUGACUGCAAGGCUAGAGUGCGUCAGAGGGGGGUGGAAUUCCGCGUGUAGCAGUGAAAUGCGUAGAGAUGCGGAGGAACACCGAUGGCGAAGGCAGCCCCCUGGGAUGACACUGACGCUCAUGCACGAAAGCGUGGGGAGCAAACAGGAUUAGAUACCCGAGUAGUCC